rnacentral:lncRNA from 1 species
CUUAAUAGUCAAUUUAGGUCUAAAUUGUAAGUCUAAUGAAUAAUAAAGUAUGUACAUAUGAAAUAACUAAUUCAGAGACUGAAUCUUGUCCUUAAGGUUUUUCUGAAUUUUUUGACAUUAACUUGUUGUAUAUUGUGUUUAUCAAACAGCUACUUUUAUAUGUACAUUUGUAAAUAAAAAUGCCUCUUCAUCAAUAUAGUUUUGAACAAAAA